CAGCGGUGGUGAGGUCCAAGAGCUCUGCCAUUCGGGCGAUGCGCAGCCGUGUGUAAUACUUGGCCAUUACACGAAUAUUAUGCUCAACACAACGAUUCCUGCAACAUUCAAAUCAUGGAUGUUAUAUUUACGCAUAAUAGCAAUCCAGCUGAGGCUGUGGGCCUACGCUGCGGCGGACAUAUUGCCAAGUUCUACGAUGAUGCAGAAAGGAUGAACACGUCUUGUCGUUGCUACUACACAAUCGUACAAUAAAAUAUUUGCCGUGCCAUGGAGUCCAUAAGUUGUGCAAUGGUAUGUUUAAAUUCAAUUAUAUUUUUUCGUUUUAAUUCCUGCGUCCUCUAUUAGUUUGUAUUUGCAAAUAUAUAAGAUAGUCGCGUACUCGGCUGAUACAUCUCAAAAAUAACUGUUUAGUUUUUCCUUCGCUUACAAACGCGUAAGAGUUUUACUUGAAGAUGCAAUUCAGCGGAAUUCCAUCUUAACCAUCCUUAUCCCCUUUUUAUCUCGCUUUUUUAAUUCCAAUUAUUUCGGAAUGAAGAUUCUAAAUCUUGGUAAAAUUCUCUAUAAGAUAAGGUAUUCAAAUUGGGAAUAUAAGAGAGAUCGAGAAUAGGUAAUUUAUAAAUAAAAAUUUGCUAAGGACAAUUCUUGUUUCAUCUCACUGAUAGGUUUUUCAUUUUCAUUUUUUGAAGAACGUGGAAAAUUUGUUUGUGUAUAUUUACAGUAAAUUCAUAGAUGGAACUUGCAUCCACCAAAAAUUGCUGAUUUAUCAACGUAUGUGUAUAAACAACAAUUUUUGUGUCGCGUUGCCAUCUGCGCAUAUCGCAUGCAGUAUAUUUUAUUUUAGGUUUGAUCGCAUAUACCCCCACGGAACAAAAUAAUUUUUAAUAUUUACCUGAUAGAGAAUUUUCCAAUCUUUCAUAUUCUUUGAUCCGUUGGUAGCUUGCGAUUUUAGUUUAGAAGAGGGCAGUGGUAGAAGUGACUCUUGUUCAGGGCACCGUACGUGGAUGAUUGUAUAGCCCAUUUUUUCUUAUGAAUGAAAAAUUUCAUCUUUUAAACUUCCAAUUUAAGUCGCUUAUUUUAUAAAGUAUUGUAUGUAGAUUAAGACCCUGCAAUUCGUUCCUUUCUAUCUCUUUUGGUUUAUGAAAUAUUCGCAAUUGAAAUAUGUCGUCAAGAAUUGAAAAUUUGCAUUUUUUAACACUUUCAGUGGCGUUUUAAUGCAGAAUUUAAUUCUCUAUAAGGCUAUAUUAAUUUGUUGAAGGAGAUUUGUCUGCAACGUGAGUUAUUGCAAAAGAAAAUUAUGUUUUAUCCGGUUUUUUCGACAUUUGUUAAUUAGGUUAGUUUUUUCAUUAUUGUGGGCGAACGGGGCUUCACACAAAUUUGAGCGUGAAGUCUAGAUAUGCCAAAUUUAAUUCUCUACAAGGCUAUAUGAAUUUGUUGGAGGAAAUGUGUUUGCAACGUGAGUUAUGGCAAAAAAAUUAUAUUUUCGACCUAUGUUAAUUAAUAUAGUUUUUUUCAUUAUUGUGGGCGAACGGGGCUUCACACAAAUUUUACACACAAAUUUGAGCGAGAUGUCUAGAGAUGCAGAAUUUAAUUCUCUAUAAAGCUAUAUUAUUUUGUUAAAGGAGAUUUGUCUGCAACGUGAGUUAUGGCAAAAAAAUUAUAUUUUAUCCAGUUUUUGCGUCUUUGAGUUAAUUAGGUGCGUUUUUUCAUUUUUGUGGACGAACGGGGCUGCACACAAUUUUGAGCGCGAUGUCUAGAGAUGCAGAAUUUAAUUCUCUAUAAAGCUAUAUUAUUUUGUUAAAGGAGAUUUGUCUGCAACGUGAGUUAUUGACGUGAUAACGUCUUUAAAAUCGUUUUAGUCGGGUGACAUGUUCAGAAACUUGUGUCACGAGGCCGAUCGCUAUAACCAGAGAGAGACGGACCGAUCUCCCGUCUCAUCUCGAGCGCUGCCAGUCAUUCCGUGAAACUUGUCACGCGGAAUCCACACGAGCGGAGGCAGGCAUAGCGUUCGAGUGAGUGGACCGAUCUUCCGUCUCUCUCACUCUAGCGGCAUAUAAACGAAUGGAGAAAACAAAACAGUGAAACAAAAUGUGAAGUGCAAGUGAAGUGUUACAACAAUUGCAACAAAAAAAACUUAUAUCUCCAAUAAGACGUUAUCAUGUAAACAUCUCGAUCGUAAACCUACUUUACAAACAACCAUUUUUGCAUAAAAAUGAUAUUUUAUCCGGUUUUUGCGUCUUUGAGUUAAUUAGGUGCGUUUUUUCAUUUUUGUGGACGAACGGGGCCGCACACAAUUUUUAGCGCUAUGUCUAGAGAUGCAGAAUUUAAUUCUCUAUAAAGCUAUAUUAUUUUGUUAAAGAAGAUUUGUCUGCAACGUGAGUUAUUACAAGAAAAUGAAAUUUUAUCCGGUUUUUGAGUCCAUGAGUUAAUUACGAGUAGGUGCGUUUUUUUCAUUAUUGUGGGCGAACGGGGCCUCACACAAAUUUGAGCGCAAUGUCAAGAGAUGCAGAAUUUAUUGCAAAUUUAUUGAAAAAAAAAAUGAUAUUUUAUGAAAAUUUGCAUUAAAAGAUGAUUAAAACUGCUCAAAAGUGAAAUUUUGGACUCUAUGAAAUUAAAUAAUUUUAAAUUUUUAUCUAAUCGAGAUUUAUCCAAUCUUUCGAAAUCUACAAUCAGAUUUUUAUUUUAGCAAGCUUGUCUUAUUGGGGAUUUUACGUAUAUUAAAAAUUUGAAGUCCGUUCUUGUCCGACAAGUGCCGUUGGGAACCGUAUAAGGUUCGUGGCGAAGUUACUCGUAUUCAAGGCACCCUACGAAGGUAGCGGUAAAAGUGACUCGUGUUCAGGGCACCGUACGAAAAAAUAAAUAAAAAAAAUAUAAAAUAUAAUUUGUGCAAUUCGGAAUUGAAAAAAAAAACUGGGAAAAAGGGGCCGUACCGCCUCAUGUAUUUUUUGUUAUGAUUUUUUUUACUUCUUAUUUUUCCGAUUUUAAUACACUAUUUUUUAGAGAAUAUUUAAAUUAGUCGCGGUGUUGUAAACAUCAAUUAUUUAAUUAACUAAGGUAUACAGUAAAGUUAUACGAAGACAAUAAAUCAUAUAUUUGUAUUGGUAAAUUACAAAUGUCUGUAUUUCCUUAUCUUUAUUCUUAUGGCAUCCCAAAACCAAUAUAUUCUUUUCUUAUGCCAAGAAAUAUUGAAAGUAAAAGUAGAUUUCGUGUAUGUUGGUUAUUUCAAUGUUGUGAAUUUUUACUUUCGUCUUCUCAAGUACGUGUUUACCACUACGUUUGUUUAAAAACAACUUUUUCGUUCGGCUGACGGGUAUUAUCGCGACGCACUUGCCUUGUACCUGGCAACGCGCAGCGCACACGGCAGUCGUGUUUCACCGCGUGGUUCGCGCGCGCGUCUCACUACUAGCCACGCGUUUUCAGACUUCAAUUAUUCAAUUAAUCGUCGUCUAUUCUUUUUGUCAUCAGCAAAAUAUUCGUAACGAGAAUGUGUGGCUGUUUUGUUUGAGUUGUGACGGUUAGAGUGUUCUUAAGUAAGAAAUAAGUGUCUGCUAAUUCCUGCACGAGUUUUCGGUUCACAUAAGAUAUACUCCUGGAUCUAAAAUCUUUUCAUCAUUGCACUGGUAGGUGUGUAAUUAAUUUUUUUCCCGGAAAGUUAAGACGGUAUCUAUUAAAUUGAUUAUUCCAAUUGAGACAUAUUAAUUUUGAAAAUUACAAACACGUGGUAGCACUAUUUAUGUGAAUUCAUAGCCCUGUUUCCGAAAAUAACAUGCACGAUUUAUUUAUUACAAGCAUUGUUAUAUAAAAGUAUCUAAGGAUUAUUAAAAUGACAAUAUUCAUGUGGUCGAUCACACUCACUUUGCCGUCGACCGUCGGCUCGUUCUUCUUUUCGCUUAACGCGUUUUUAAUCGAUUUAUACUCCUUAGCAUCAUUCAAUUUAAAAGUUUCUUGUUGAUCUAAUAAAAUCUUGUACGUUGAAAAGUUUUUUGCUAUCAUAGUCUCCAUAUAUCUUAAUAUUUACAAGUAACUAGUUAUUUUUAUCGUAUUUACCUACUGUAUUACCACGCGCCGUCGCUUGCCGUCUGCUGAUUUGGAUGUUUUCUACCAAUUAAUGAUGAUGCUUCAACCGUCGGUUACCUUAUGCAGUUGAUGCUAUGAUCAAAUGAUAAAUAUAUACACAAUAUAUUAAAAUAUAGGUGUUUUAUUUUUGUAGCACCUUUUUUUCUCACCUUACCGAUGAUUUUCGGGUGAAAUCUUUGAAUUUAGGUUAAAAUAUAGUUGUUCCGGUAUAAAUUUCUCUCGUCAUGAUGUGAAUGUUGAUCAUAUUUGUAGUUUUUUAAAUCUUCCUUUUGUAACACCCUGUAUAUUAGUUUCCCUAACAGUACGUAGUAAAUCGCCUUUAUUUGUGAGUUUUGAGUGUUCUUUGUUUUAAACUUGGGAUUUUCCUUCUGGAACACCCUGUAUAUUUGCUUUUCUUUGUGUCCGUGAAAAUUUUCCUUUAUCUUUGAUUUUAGGGCUUUCUUUUGGCACUCUCAUUUUUGUUGUAACACCCUGUUUAUUAGUUUCCCGGAACAUUGGGUGACAACGAGCAAUAUUUAUAGUGUUUAGAUGUUUUCCUCUUUGACGGUUGAAUUUUCUAUUUGUGACACCUUGUAUAAUCGUUAUCCUUCGCAUUCCUGAAAAUUUUGCUUUGACUGUUAUUAGAAUUUAACUUUUUGCACUUUGAAUUUUCUUUUUGUAUCGCCCUGUAUAUUUGUUUCCCCGAGUAACCGUGAAAAACCAGCGAUAUUUGAGUGUUUAGAUGUAUUCCUGUCUGUACUUUUCUGUAACACCCUGUAUAUAUGUUUCCAUUUUCAAUCACGAUGAAAAUUGACUUUGCUAAUUGCUUUAUCCCGCUAGAACUUCACUUAGUGGUACGCGGUUGUUUGCGCGGCUAAGCAGGUCGAAAGUCCGAUUUCAAUAUUGCGGCAUGAAUUCUGUUGGCUUGUAAAAUCUAAACUUGUAUUAUUUUACAUUGUAUUUAUUAAUAAAGAAAUGUUAAGAAA